UACCGGAUUUGUUAUCACAUAAGCAACACGACGGGUGCCACAUGUGGAGCAGGAUCUGCUUACCCUUCCGGAGCACCUGAUAUCACCCCUAGUUUUUGUUGGGGUUCGUGUUGUUUAUUCUUUAGUUUUCUAUGUUGUGUCAUGUGUACUAUUGUUUGUCUGUUUGUCUUUUUCAUUUUUAGCCAUGGCGUUGUCAGUUUAUUUUAGAUUUCUGAGUUUGACUGUCCCUUUGGUAUCUUUCGUCACUCUUUUA
rnacentral:lncRNA from 1 species